CUGGGGAUUGAGCAGUAGGAGGAUAAGGGAGAAUGACAGAGUGGAAGGAGCUCUCUAGGGGCAAGAAACAGCCUGUCUGAAGGCCUUGAUAAGAUGAGAAGUUGCUAUGUUUAAGGAACAAAAUUAAGGCCAGCAAGACUUGAGCAGAAAAAUCAGCAAAAAGGUUAAGCCUGAAAAAGUGAACAAAGCCCAGUUAUAGAGAGUAUAUACUAUGUUGGAACCUUGGUUUUCAUCAAAAAGCAACAGAAAGCCAUUUAGAGUUUUGGGCAGAAGGAUGACAUAAAUAGUUAUAUUUAUGAAAAAUUACCUGACUCUAGAGAAGAGAAAAGAUAGAAGGGUGGGUAUGGGGGGCAAGAGACCAAUUAUGGGGAUAUUGCAGUAGUGAACCUUGGAUCAGAAAGGUUGGAAGCUGCAUUAAUAAUAACACUAAAUAGAACUGACAAAAAGCUAACUCAAACUCUCUCAACUAAAGGAAGAAACUUAUUGUUUCAUAAAACAUGAAGUUCCAAAGAGUAGUCUUAGGUCCAGCUGGAUCCAAGGAUUUCACAUGAAGUCAACAGUUCCCCCUCUCUACCACAGGAAUCUAUAUUGAAAACAUAUUAUUUAUAGCUGCUGAAAAACAUUUUCACAUUUUUAUAGUUUUCCAUAUUGUGAAUUAUUUCUUCUAAAAGUAGAAUAUAAAAAAUUACAUUUACUGGAUUUCUUUGCAUUUAGAGUAAAGGUGUAUGAUCUAGGCAUUGCCAAACAGAUACAACUACAGGAGACUUGAAUGUGGAGGGGAGUUAUAAUCAGUGAUGGCCCCACACUGGGAGAUUGAUUUCCUGACAAGGACAGUGGUCAAGGAAUCUAGUUCUUUUGGGGCAACAGCAACACAGAUUAUGGCUUCAGGUUCAGGGUUGGUGCCAUAUCAAUUGGCAACAGGUAGUAGGAAUGAUGUUUUUGCCAGUAUAAUUUUUCAGCAAGAUCAGCCAGUGUUCUUAGCUUCAAUGUCCAUGGCAAUGAACUAUCAAGCCUGUUUUCCAGCAAUUCUGGAAAUUCCUUGAGCUACCUAAUAUCUUUUAAUAAAUCCACUUUUGCUUAUUUUUGGACUAUUUGGAAUGGAUCUGUUGUUCAUAAUCAAGAAUGUUGACUAUUAUACUCCUCCCUUUUUCUUGACUCCUUUCAUGUGUUAACCUCAAUCUCGUCUCAUGCAGACUUUUUCCACAUGGUAGGGAAAGGACUACCAGCAGUCAUUAACUGGCAUUUUCCAGCUCCAUAACCCAAAAGGCGAGUCCCCUUCCAUUUCAGCACCAAAUUUAAAAGCUUGGGAAAUAACAAUAGCUACCAUUAGUAUAGCCAUUAAUAUAGCAUUUACUAUAAACAGACACUAAGAUGGUCUAUAUUUACUUUUUUUUUGAGAUAGUCUCACUCUGUUGCCCAGGCUGGAUGGCAAUGGCAUGAUCAUGGCUCACUGCAGCCUCGAACUCCUGGGCUCAAGUGAUCCUCCAGCAUCAGCCUCCUGAGCAGCUGGGACCAAAGGUACAGGCCACCACACCCGACUUUUUAAUUGUAGAGAUGGGGUCUUGCCAUGUUGCAGGCUGGUCUUGAACUCCUGGGCUCAAGCAAUCCGCCUGCCUCAGCCUCCCAAGAGCUGGGAUUACAGGUGUGAGCCACCGUGCCCAGCCAAACUCAUUUAAUCUUUACCACAUCUCUAAGAAACAGGUACUAUGAUUUUUCCUCAUUUUUCAAAAAGGGAAAUGAUACAAUAAAUUUCUCAAGGUCAUAUAGCUAGGAAGUAAUAGAAUCAGAAUUUAAACUCAAGCAAUUUGACUCCAGAGUCUGUGCUCCCAAUGCAGGGACAUUCCAACACAGAAGUGCAGUAAAGAUUUUAUUCCUACCUCACUGGUUUCCCUUUCCAGAACAAGCAAAGGUCUGAAAAGGGAAGCCAGAGGAAAAUCAGAUAAAAUCUGGAGGAAAAUGUGAUGGCUUAGAGAAGAAAGGGUUUCAAAAAAGGAGAUAUGUAUCUACUCAAUUAGAAGUUACCCUUCAAAACAUGUCAUAUAUUCAAUUAUCUCCAUGUGUAAAUUAUUGAGAGACUGCAGAGAAAUUUCCAAAUGAAAAGUUACAUCAUUGAAGAGUAAAGUGAAUUUUGAAUAGGCUUUCAUUAUCUAUUAAUAAUCAUAACUUCAGAAUUAUUGACUAACAUGUUUCAUUUGUGAAGCAAACAAUAAACAUCAUUAAGCAUGAAAAAAAGAAGGAAAGAGAGAUCAACUGUGUCAGAUGCUAGUGAGAGGCUGAAUUAGAUUCAGACAGAAAAUUGACCACUAUAUUAGAUGCUAUUGAUAAACUGGAUAGGAUCUAUUUCAACAGAGUGGUGGGUACAAAAAAGUGUACUUGGAAUGGGCAUAUGAAAGGAAAAAAAUGAGAAAGUAGAGACAGAAAGUAUAAACAAAUAGUUUGAAGACUGUGAAGAGAGGGAAAGAAAUAAAACAUAUGAGGAUGAUGUGACGUCAAGGGAGAUAUAGUUUUAUUUUAUUUUAUUUUUUUAGGUUCCCUCAAAUCAUGGGAUUCAAGGGAUGAUUAAUAAUAAAACAUGUUUGUAUAUCAUUAGGAAUAAUUCCAUGAUGAAAAAAAACAAUAAUUAAGAAGAGAGAGGGUAACUCCAGUAUUGAGGUCCUUGAGUAAACAAAUGUGGAUGUGAUGUGAUCUAAGACGCUAACAGAGGGGCUGGACAUCAGAAGUAGAAACACUACUUCCAGUGUUCAGAAAGAAACAUAAAAUACAUGGAGGGUACAGAUGCAAGUAGAUUGGUAGGUUUAGUGAUGGGAAGAUGAGGCAAUUCUAAGUUAGCUACAUUUCCUUGGCCGAGGUUAUUGGCUGAGAGUGAAUGGGAUGAAAGAAUGGAGGUUUUAGAAGAAAGAUUGUCCUAGAGUGUAGGAGGGUGAAUGUACCAAGGAAGUGAAACAGCAUCAUCUAGCAGCAUUGGAUUCCAUUUGGGAUUUACAGUGGAAAACUUUAGGCAAGUCCAGUCAUCAUGGUUGUAUGAAUUUCCUCUAGUAACAUUAGUUUCUCAGGUGUAGUUACAGCAUAGGAGGAUAACUGGGUUUCACAAGGGGUGAGUUUUUUCAGAUGUGUUCAGUGGAGAGAAAGGAAAACAAGAAAGUUCAGGUUUUCUGCAAGAAUCUGGCUCAAGUGCCAGACCAUGGAAGCUAGCUUAACAAGAAGAUAAAUAACAAUAUGAAAGUUAGGGAAAUUAAAAAAUAAAAUCAGCAGGAUCAAUGGAUUGAAUGUCCCUAUAGGGUCAAAGAACAGUUCCAAGGGAACUGGUAGGAGUGAGAUAGAGACUCAAAAUGUGAUAAUCAGACAGCAGGAUAGUGAUUGCUGUCCAGAGAUUUUAAAGGCUAUUGGUAUUGACUGUUAAUAAUGUCUAUGGUGUGGCUGUAAGAAUGGCAGUGGCUGGUUGCAGUGGAGUGAAGAUAUUUGAAGUAGAGAAGUUCAAGAAAUUGAGAGACCAGGGUACUGGGUGGAUAAUCUACAAGGACAGCAAAACCAACAGGAUUGUAGGAAUAAUGGAGGAAAUCAAAUACAAUAAACUAGAUGAUAAAGUCAUCAAAGAAUGAUGAGAGACAGCAAGAGAUUCUGAAAGAUGACAACUAUUAGAAGAGAGAUUAGGUGGUAAAGUCUGAAGACAUGAACUCAACAGACUUAGGGUUUUCAAAGUCAAAAGAAGGAUAGAUAGUUUGGAAGGAUCAAUAGGAAGAAAAAAGAUACUUACUCUACCUACAGCCAAAUAAAGGUUUACCAGAAAGGGGUCCCGAUGCAGACCCCAAGAGAGGGUUCUUGGACCUUGUGCAAGAAGGAAUCCAGGGUGAGUCCACAGAGUAAACUGAAGGCAAGUUCAUGAGUGAAGUAAAGAAACAAAAGAAUCGCUGCUCCAUAGACAGAGCAGCCCCAAGGGCUACUGGUUGGCUAUUUUUAUGAUUAUUUCUUGAUUAUAUGAUAAACAAGGGGUAGAUUAUUCAUGAGUUUUCUGGGAAAGGGGCAGACAAUUCCCAGAAUGGUUCCAAAAAGGGUUCCUCCCCUUUUUAGAAUGUAUAAGGUAACUUCCAGACGUUGCCAUGGUAUUGUAAACUGUCAUGGCACUGGUGGGAGUGUCUUUUAGCAUGCUAAUGCAUUCAGUUAGUGUAUAAUGAGCAGUGAGGAUGGCCAGGUAUCACUUUCACUGCCAUCUUGGUUUUGGUGGGGUUUGGCUGGCUUCUUUAUGGUGUCCUGUUUUGCCUGAAUCUUGUGAUACCAGUCCUGCUGACCUCCUAUCUCAUCUUGUGACUACAAAUGCCUAACCUCCUGGGAAUGUGGUCCAGUAGGUCUCAGCCUCAUUUUAUCCAGCCCCUGCUCAUGAUGGAGUCACUCUAGCUCGAACACCUCUGACAGAAAGACAAGACAUCUUCCAUUUGGGAGGAAACUGCUUCUAGGAAAGAAAUUUCCUCAGGGAACAGCCAAGUUUCAGUUAGAGGAAGAAGGGGAAGCAAAUGUUCAGAGAGCAGUUUUGGGAUGUAGAAAAGUUUGGUAAUGGAAAACCAAGAAUUAUAGAGGGCAGUGGAGGAGUCUGAGAUUGCAGAGCAGCAUAAACAAGAUAGAGUGGGGAAGGUAAAAAGCAGUGUUGAGACAAGCGAUAAUGAUCUAGGAGGUGUGGACUUCUAGCACUGAGGUUAUUGGAAUGUGGGGUAUGUUGUGAGCUGUCCUGGAAGGCUAGAGGAAGCUGAGUAACCAGUGUUAUCCAGAGUGUUUAGCCAAGAGGUGUGGGUCAUUGUUUAGUCCCAUAUCUCACAGAGGCGUUUGGGCCUGGGGAAUGGAAGAGGGCCUCCUAGAAAAACAGCUCAUCAUGGGUUGUAAGCUGUUCAAUGAGCAGUGCUGGCUGGGGAGGAGUUCUCUCUAGAAGCACUACUUGCUGUUGGGACCUCCAGACCCUGGUCUCUCUUUUCAUUGCAGUACUGUCACAGCCUGAGCAUCAGUGGGGCCACAGGUCGCUUCACCAGGUGAGAGGUGCAGAAAGAAGAGCCAUAGUGGGUCUCAGAGCAGAAAGUUUUGGGGCAACUGGAAAAUGAGACCACAUGAGGAGCUGGGGCCAUUAGUCUCUCUCUCUGGAAAGAGAAAAGGAGUUUCAUUGUUUUGUUUUGUUUUGUUUUUGUUUUUGUCAUCUGGCAUUACAGCCUUAUCUUUAACCAAGUUUUCUUUGCUCCAUUUUUCAAGUUUCACUACCCUGAAUUUUGCCUCUUUCAACCCCAGAAAAGUCCUUUUCUUCCUUGACCACGAUUUCAACAAAUAAUACAAGCUAGGUAUGACUGAACUACCUUCACGCAACACUUUGAACAAACUCCAGUGAUAUUUGAGACUUCAGACAACUACUGCUCUCUUAUCAUCCUUUGCUGCCAUUCCAUCAAAACAAAACAAAGUAGACAAAGACAUGACUCACAGAUGACUGAUUGAGGUUAGACAUACAGAUGGAUAGAUAGACAAAUAGAUAAUAAAUAAAUGAGAGAAGGGAAGAGGAAGAGUGGGGAGGGGAGUGGUAAGGAGAGAAGAGGACAGAUUUGGUCAUCCCUUUGAUGGCUGGUAAAAUGUCUAGAUAUUCUUUGGAAUAAUUCAAUUCUACAAUCUUAUCAAAAGGAUAAUCUUAUUUAGAAACAUAAUCAGCAAAACUAAAACUAAUUUCCCAAUUCCCCAACUUCCACAUCCAAAAAAUUAUUACAGCUCCCAGACAAAUGCAGAUUUGAAUU
rnacentral:lncRNA from 1 species